rnacentral:rRNA from 1 species
AUGAGGAGGCCGCACUUCAUGGGAAAGCUACAAGAUGAAGUGAGGAGUAUCGUACCCCGGGGACAAGAAAUUGUGAGCGCAACUGAAUCGAACAACAUGGUGUACCUGAGAGCAGUAAUAAAAGAGUCUCUCAGGUUGUAUCCUAUUGCACCUCUCCUUGCUUCGCACCUUGCCAUGGCUGACUGUACCAUCGACGAAUACAUGGUUCCCGCAGGGACGCGUGUCGUCGUCAAUGCAUGGGCCAUUGGGAGGGAUUCAAGCUCCUGGGAGGAUGCUGAAGAGUUCAUACCUGAAAGAUUUACAGAUGAAGGAAAUGCUAGGAAUGUCAACAUUAAGGGGAAUGAUUUUCAUUUCUUGCCAUUCGGGGCAGGACGAAGGAUAUGCCCUGGUAUAAACCUCGGAAUCGCCUUUGUUGAGCUUAUGUUGGCAAACAUCGUGAACCAUUUUGACUGGGAACUUCCGAUUGGGGUUGAGAGAAAAGAUAUCGAUAUGACAGAGGUGUUUGGGAUAAGCAUUCGUAGGAAGGAGAAACUAUUGUUGAUUCCAAAGUCACGCAUGUAA